UCUGACCCCCCUAGUACUCGAUACUUCUUCUUCUUCUUCUUUACUAAAAAACGAAAACGAGAAAACUUCUUCAUCGCCUCCGCCACCAUAUCUUCAUCGUCGCCUCCGCCACCACCUCCACAAAUCUCGCCAUCAGUUCCGGCAGCACCUCCUAUGCUUGCAGCAAAUCCAUCACAAGCAGCAGCAUCACCACCUGAUGUAGAUCAAUUUUCACUUGAUUCAACUACAAAACUCUCUGCAGAUGAAUCAACGACAAACUAAUCUGCAAAACCUAAUACCAAGCAUCAGAAACGUUAGAUUCAUUUCGAUUUUUCAACCGAAUUGGGCAUGAUUCCAUUUUUUAAACCCUAAGUUUGGAUUUCAUUUUUCUUCAAAUCGAUGAUUGAUUCAGAUACCUCGUCGGAGAGCUCCUUCUGGUUUUCGCUUGGAUGAUAACGACACCUUGAACUCGUGUGAGCAUGUUAAUGCCAAAGGCACAACCUUGGUAAGGUAAGCAGAAGAUGCAGCAAGCAACAAAACGGUUGGUUCUUCGACCUCUGUACUGCUCCUUGUUUGAACUAAAUUGUUCCCAUGUACAUUAUGUCAAUGCCUUUCUUUUUUCUUACUGUUAUGUGCUUUCACACUUUGCAUUGUUCUAUUGAGUCUAUUUAAGUGAACCAAAUGCUAAGAUUAGGAUUAUUUUAGUACUCCGGAUUUAUAUAAAUUCAUUAUAGGUUGA